rnacentral:tRNA from 1 species
AAUAUAGUGCCUGAUUAAAAGGGUAGUCUUGAUAGGGCUAAUUAUGUAUUUACCAUACCUAUAUUA